GUCGAACCUACGACGUUCUUCGCUUCGGAUUAACUGCGGAGUUUUCAACAGAAGUGUUUGCGCCUGCUUUGGAAACGUCGCAUGUGCGAACCUUCGUGUAUUCGGCAAAAGAGACCAAUUUUUAAGGAUUGGGAAACUGCGCAAUUUAUACGCGUAAUUCGGACGAAGCAACGAGCCCUACCAAUCGCUCCGGAACGCAUGAAUAACCGAAUGGUCCUCGCGGAGCCGAGUGGCUCGAAAGUACACCGUGGGACGGCUGGCGCAUAACUAUCCUGUUCCUGGUGUUCCUGCACUGCGGCAAAUACGAUCCCGUUCGCACGAGUGCAGGUUAUUGAUCGAUAACAGGGGUAAUAUACAAGUAACAGGAAUAUUAAUAUAUGGACGCAACGACGAUUAUUGAUCGGUCCAAUGAAUUUUCAUGGAAAUGUGAGAUGGCGUGCAAGGAGGCUCAAUUACUUCAAAGGAAGGUUUCGCGCGCGUUGGUUUUCACGAAGUCUAGUAAGGUUUCUAGUUUUCGCGUCGGGUUUUCUUAAAAAAAGCUACUUUCGCUGUUUGUUUUGAACAUUGUGCAAACGCACACCAAAAGGAGUAUUUAUUUGACGAACGUCGCGCGGGUUCGUUUACGUUUCUGAGUAUCAUGUUCUCCUUCUUUACGACUUGUACAAGGUAAGAAGCCGCCCAUAUGUUGUUCGGUUUGAGGAUCACUGUGCGCCUCCACUGCUUAGGUUGACCUUCUUUCGUUCGUGUAAGGAGGUUUGCUCCCAUGCAGGGACAUUUUGGCCGAUUUUUAAUUGUCAAUAUUAAAAACAACAAUUAAAAACAAAGCCGAAAACGCAAUUUUUAUAUUUUUGAUUUUCGUCCCAUUUCGGCUUCAAGAAUUACCCUUUGAAUUUCCUAACACCCGUAGCCGAACACCCUGUGUACAUAGAGAGCUGUUGUGCGAAGUAUGCGCACACAUCUGAUACAUUUUCAAAGUCGAUUUUUUCGGAAAUAAUAUUAUUUUGUCCCUUUUGUUUUUGUAAACUCAUACCUACCCUGCUGGAUAACGCACUAACUUUGCAAGACAUCAUGUAGAUACAUCUAGCGAUAAGAAAAGAUUCGAGCAAUCAAGAAGAAAGAAAUACCGCAAGAGGAUGUGAAAUCUUCUGUCUCGACUAUCGAUCGGAGUUUCAACGAUGCGGGCAAUUUUAGAUGCUGUAAAUUAUUUUAGAACUGACUAGGUGAUUGAGGAGGAACGGAGCUUAAACAACGUGACGAAUGUAGGAGAAAUUGACGUAUCGAGAAGAGCUAGAUCAAAAUAGCAAGACGAUUUUAGCUGCUGGCUGUAGCUUCCUUCGCGAGACGAAUAAUAUAUCAGGUCCGUUCGAUUUCUCGACAUUGCCGUUUCAUGGAAUUAGAUAGGAUAUCUGGAUCGGUGUACGUACUUUCUCUAAACGUAUACGCGUGUUCAUGCGUAUGAAUCUAGCCAGAAACUCUUUCUACUUUGACGAUUCGUUUGGCCUUCCAUGAAAGGAGUACAAUCAACCAUGUGAUUUAUCGUUGAGGAAGCUCCGCUCGAAGGAACGGUGCGGGCACGCGAUGCUCGAUCGAUACGAGAAAAAUGACCGCACGCUGAUGCGUUACUCGUUACGGUAUUCGAGAGCACUUUUCGUGUUGUUUCCCCUUGACACUUUCGGCUUUUUUAUCGAAAUGACUGGCUGAGAAAUUCUUCGAAUCGACCAUUUUGUUCUUACGUUGCAGCGGGGAAACCGUGUAUGCAUCGUAUCGAUCUCAUUCGAAUGCUAAACCAAUGUUUUACUGUUUAUCAGAUUAAUUUUUUAACGUAUCCAGCGCUCAUAUGUCGGACUUGAAAUCAUUGGAAAUUGAUUUAUUAAUUAUAUCGCUGUUAAAUUAAUUGUCAUGAACGUCCGCUUACAAAAUAAAUUUAGCACGAAAGGAAAAUAUCAGGGCUCGACAACGAAGUUAAUAUUGUUCGGUUGUUACAUAAUUACAAUUUAAACGAUCACGGUCUGAAAAGUACUAAUUAAUUCAUGGCCUCGAUGUAGUGCAUGUGAAAUGUUAAUAAUAACAUUUAAGAUAAUUAUUCGAUUAAAACGAGGCUCGAUGCUUGUAAUUAAUAAUGCAUUAUUCGAUGUGCAAAUAUCUGUCAUUAUGCGCAUUAAUCAUUCAAUUGAUGCAACUGACACCGAUUUUAACCACAAACGGAGAAAAAAAUCAGCACAUAGACAUACGUAUAUGUAUCUAUACGUAAUUCGAAAACUGGUGCAGCUUGCAAAUGUUUGUACAUGUAUGGUUUUUGGAUGGAAACGGGAAUGAUAAAAUCGAAGAUAUAUGUACUGACAUUCAGAGAGAGAGAGAGAGAGAGAGAGAGAGAGAGAGAGAGAAAGACAGAGAGUAUAGAUUAACGGCAGAGGUGUCGAAAAUUUAGACAUUAUGUAUCUGUAUACAGUAUGCAACGUAUGUAUGGAGUAUGUAUAUGUAUAGUACUCCAAACGGAUACGCGGAUGUAUCCGAGAUUGCAUCUCCUUCUCGUUUCUGCUUGGAUAGAUGCUCUCGUAAAUUCAUACCCCAUUCGUUCCAUUUCGUUAUUUUUUUAGAUCUUCCCGUCUGAUCUUCUUCGCGUCUCUCGUGAAAUAAAAAAAGCAGCUGAUAUAGCUGAAACUUCGUCAAAGUGUACAAGAAUUGGACGAGUUUAACUUAGAAACAAACAAUUGCGUAACAAUUUGGUUCGUCGAAACACCGACCAAACGAUGACAAAUAUAUUCUGGUAGAAUUUUAAACAGUAAUUAACGAGUAGUAUUCUAGUUACUUGAUAACGCGGCAUGAUAAGAGAAAAAGGAACAGUGGAAAGAGAAAAGAAGACGGUAGUUGUCAAUAGAAUUUGUUAACAGACGUUGAGAAUAAAUGGAUUUCGAUGUUAGGCACAGAAUAUAGAACGUAAUGUUUAAUCGUGCAACGUUUCGAUAUGACGGCAGAACCGAUUGAACAAGAAAUACUUUAAAUCUUGACAAAUGAAACGACUUAGCUCUGGUUAUGUAGAUGACUGUGACGACUAUCGCUAUCUGACGAUUUAAUUCUAAUUUCGAAAAUUUAUUAACUUUCAAAUAUCGUGAAAAUGAGCAAAUUUCUCUUGUAUUUCGAUUUAAUUAAUCUCGUUAAACUUCACCUCGCUUGCGAAAGUACAACAAACUUGUACGAUCUUUCUGGUUCCUUUAUUUCGUAACUUUCAAAACAGCAUGUAGACAGCGUUCAAAUACACCGUUCCGAAAUAAAAGUUAAUUUAAUUACAAAUAUUUUACGAUUUGCUGAUA